CAGCAGCCACGGUAAUACCAGCACCUCGAGUGGUCAGGAGGUUUAUUGGGCCUAAAGCAUCCGUAGCCGGUUGCAUAAGUUUUCGGUUAAAUCUAUGCGCUUAACGUAUAGGCCGCCGAAAAUACUGUGCAGCUAGGGAGUGGGAGAGGUACACGGUACUCGAUAGGAAGGGGUAAAAUCCUUUGAUCUAUUGAUGACCACCUGUGGCGAAGGCGGUGUACCAGAACACGUUCGACGGUGAGGGAUGAAAGCUGGGGGAGCAAACCGGAUUAGAUACCCCAGUAGUCCCUGUCUCUUAUAC
rnacentral:rRNA from 1 species